UUCCAUAGCAUUUUGACAUUUUCCAUACUAAAAAUAACCCGCCUAAAUUUCAUGAAAUUUAUUGAAAAUAGCGUCAUUUCCAUAUUUCCAUUCCCACCUUAAUUUCUCUCCUAUGGGACCAAACACAACGAGAAAUCCCUAGUUACCAUGUUAUCUCCUCCUGACGACACACCACCAGAGCAAAAUUACGCUGCUUGUUCUAUCACCAAUGAUGCACUAUACCAGUCUAUGUGGCGUAAGUUUGUCCCUUUUACUUUUAAAAUUUGCAAUCGUCUUUAGUAAGUUGAAUCUUUACCGAUACUGAUAUAGUCUUGAAGAGUUUAAUUUAGGGUUUCUUCACUAAUUAAUUUCACACUGCCGACUUAGCCAGACUAUCAAACCAAUCAAGUAAUCAACCAUACUUCUUCAUUUAAUCAAAUGCAAUUUCGAUUUUCAAACUCACAAACCUCUUACAAAUAUGAUUUUGAAUUCACAGAAAUAGAGAAUCGAAGAGUCACUCAUAGGGAAGAGCUACUUUUAAAUAUAUCGACAUUAUUGUUGUUUCUAUUUGUUGUUGUACACCAAAACAAUGAAAUGUGUAUAUGUCAUUGAUUAAGUGUUACUUUUAUGCUAUUAAUAAACUUUACAUCUUAAAAUAAGAUACAACUUCAUCUGAAACCAACUUUGUUCUGCUCAAUAUGUGAAAAGUUAUAUGAAAAAUCAUUGUGUGAUUUCAUUUCAACAAGUGAAAACUAUCAAUGUGUUUUAUCUGUUUAUUUUUGUCUAAGUGUGAUAUUGUUCAAGUGUUACUUCUAAGUGCGAUAUUGUUCAAGUGUUACUUCUGUGUUAGGAAUGAAAUGUACAUCUCAACAAGUUAAAGGUAUAAGUAAAACUCAUAUAACCUUCUUAUUAAUAUUAUUUUCUACAUACGAACUAAGCUUUUGUUUUUUACAUUGCAUAGGACUAGCGGAGUCCCAAGUCUUAUGGAAUACAAGGUUUGUGAGAAGCUUAAUUUAUGCUACUAGUGGAAAGAAGUAUAAAAAGUAUAUGCAUAUGGCAAAGGAACACUUACUAGUGUAGCAUCCCACUUUCAUUUCUCUGCUGAUCAAUAUGGAUCCUGGUUCGAUUUUCUGUCUCAUAGACAAUAGUGUCUACCAUUGGUAUAGUUUUUCAAUAUAUUUGUCCAUUUUAUUAAUUUUUAUUGAUAUACUAUCCUACUUUUUUCUUCCCCAUAAAUGGUUGCAGACAUGGAUUCUUCUACACCUCAUAGUCACCAUUUUAUUGCACGAAAGGUUGCAUGGAGUUUUGAAAAGGAACUAAAAGGCAUAAGAAGACUGAGGCUGAUAGAAUUGAUUGUGAGUGCUGGUAAAUUUUGGGAAGUGAUAUACAUGCACUCAAGAUCAUCAUGUUUGAAGAUUAAGGAUUAAGUGUGAUGAUAAUCUUUAUGGACAUUUAUCAACAAGAAGCAUAUGGGUCUUUGUAUUAACAUCUAGUCUAAUUAGGUUGUACAUACUUUCUUGUUUUAAGCGAGCAACGUGAACAUAUUAAUCCUCGUACGAAAUGGGGUGUAGCAAAGAGUUUGGUGUUGAAAUCCUUCAAAUGGGGUACAUAUGUUAACAUCUUGUUAAAUGUUGGAUCCUAGUGUUAUUAGAUGUAAAUAUGUAGAAAUUCAUUGCAAAUUAAUAAAAGGAUUUAUUUAUUUGUGUA